AACGAACGCUGGCGGCAUGCCUAACACAUGCAAGUCGAACGAUACCUCCGGGCAUAGUGGCGCACGGGUGCGUAACGCGUGGGAAUCUGCACUUGGCUACGGAAUAACAGUUAGAAAUGACUGCUAAUACAGGAUGAUGUCCCCCUGAGAGGUCUUGGGGACCACAGGUUUAUCGGGCGGGGAUGAGGCCGCGUAGGAUUAGGUAGUUGGUGGGGUAAAGGCCUACCAAGCCGACGAUCCUUAGCUGGUCUGAGAGGCUGAGCCGCCACACCGGGGGUGAGACACAGCCCCGAAUCGUACGGAAGGGAGGAGAGGGGAAUAUUGGAAAAGGGGGGGAGCCCUGAUCCAGCAAGGCCGGGUAAGUGAUGAAGUCGGUAGGGUAGUAAAGCUGUUUUACCAGGGAUGAUAAUGACGGUACCUGGAGAAUAAGCACCGGCUAACUCCGUG
rnacentral:rRNA from 1 species